AUGAACUCGUCUCUGAGCUUAGUGACUGUGGUACUCUUAGUGUUUGGACAAACCCGUGGAAACUCAGUGACCCAGAUGGAAGGCCAAGUGACUCUGUUAGAAGGGGCUCCCCUGACUGUGAAUUGCUCCUAUGAAACCACACUGUACCCAGCUCUUCUCUGGUAUGUUCAGUAUCCCGGAGAAGGUCCACAGCUCCUCCUGAAAGCCUCAAGGAUCAAUGAGAAUGGAAGCAGCAAAGGAUUUGUAGCCACAUACCAAAAACAACCAAAGGCCUUCCACUUGGAGAAAGCCUCAGUCCGCCAGUCAGAUUCUGCCAUGUACUACUGUGUGCUGGGUGACACAGUGACAGGAACUGCAGGGGGAGCUGAGCACAAACUUGGGAACCUGGACCUAUUGUGA